rnacentral:rRNA from 1 species
UACGAAGGGGGCUAGCGUUGUUCGGAUUUACUGGGCGUAAAGCGUACGUAGGCGGAUCUUUAAGUCAGAGGUGAAAUCCCAAGGCUCAACCUUGGAACUGCCUUUGAUACUGGGGAUCUCGAGUCCGGGAGAGGUGAGUGGAACUGCGAGUGUAGAGGUGAAAUUCGUAGAUAUUCGCAAGAACACCAGUGGCGAAGGCGGCUCACUGGCCCGGAACUGACGCUGAGGUGCGAAAGCGUGGGGAGCAAACAGG